GCUAAGCGCAGGACAUCGUUGACAUGACUGCUUGAUUGGCGUCGCUCCGGUGAAGCUAACUUCAGCUAAAAAAUGGAGAAUAAUAAACCUCCACUCGCAGUCGGGAAGAGGAAGCUUCUACUUUUUUGAGGGUUUGUUGCUGGACCAAACACACCUCCCCACUAGUGGUUUGCCCUUUUUAAUUCGGAGAUUUUAAAUAAAAAACUAAUUAAGUAAAAAAAAGAAACACAGAGCAAGUUGGGAUGAAGCAACAUGCACUGUGUUACGGAAAACGUUCGCCACCUCAAAUUAUUCAUGUGACUCCAGAAAAGUCUCAAACAAUUUAGAUAACAGCUUCAGUGUAAAUUAGGAAGAGCAGUUUGAGCUUAAGAAUGUGGAGACAGCUGCAACACAAACAUAAAAACAGAACAUGGAACAAACAGAUUUUAAAUGUACAUACCUUUUUCUAUAUUCCUGGCAUUGUCUAAGAUGGAGAUGGAAAGACUCCAUAUGGUGCCUGCAUGUUUGUCAUGAAAUAUAAUGACUUAGAAAAGGCUAAAAUCUGGUUUAUUGCUGCUGUAUUCUAGUGAUUUAUUAUAAGAGUUAUGUUCUUAAGUUUCUGUGCAUAUUAACAUCAGAAAUAUCUGUAUAUUGCAUGUCUCUUCAGACACUUUGGAAACACAGCAAACAACAUUAUCAUUAACAACAAAGGUGUAACAUAUCUGACUAUGUGUUUUUGUUAUUUUUUCUGCCUUUUAUUUUAUAUGAUUUGAAUGUAUGUUGGUUUACUUCCUGUUGUAGUCCUGUCCAAGUUGUUGCUGUAGUUCUGUUACUUCAAAAAGUGAAAGUAAAUACAUUUGAUGAAGCACAUUAACUUGUCAAACCAGUAUUUACAAGUAAUGAAUGCUUGCUCAUUGUUAUUUCUUGUCUAGCUUAUUUCCUUGUUCGUUGACUCAAAACAGUCUUGACUCAACUAGUCAGAAGAGAAAUUUGUGAUUGAGUAAGAUCAGAGAUCUGAAGAAUAUUGUAUAAUCCAUGGAAGAAAAAAAUGGAAUUGAUGACCCAAAAACAAACAGAAAGAGCAAGGACCAUCCUAUCACAUUUAUGUCAGAGAGCACAUCACUGUCAUGCAUAACAGGAGCCAGAAUAUCUACAGAAGAUCUGAUUUUAUAUGCAUAUUUAGAGAAAGUUAAUGAAAACCAAAAACAAGAUAAAAAACACAGAGCAAGCUGGGAUGAGAAAACAUACAUUGAUAUGUUACGAAGCCUGUCUUUUACGUCUAAUGACUCGGGUUAUGAUUCCAAAAGAUCAACAAAACAUUUAGAUACAAGCUCCAGUGAUGCUGAAGAACAGAAGUUUGACAAUGAAGUUACAGAUACAUCACGAACAUAAAACUAGAACAUUUUACAAAUUAGGUCCUAAUGAUCAAAAAUUAGAUUUACAGUUUAUUUUAGUAUUAAACAAUUGCGAUUAACUUUUACACAGAAAAACACUGAAACAUUGUGGUGAAUAUCACUGGAUUCUUGAAGGUUCUCUUAGAGACCUGCAUUUCCAUGGUAAUAAUAAAUAUGUGGGUGCAUGGUCUCACACAAUACCUUCAGUAUUUAUAUUCUAAAUGUUAUAUAAAUGUAAAUGCUACAAAGAAUAAGUGUGCAAGUUUGUCUGACUGUAAGUGUAAUAAACACUAACAAAACUGCAUGUAUUGUGUAAUGUAUACAUUAUCCUAUGUUCCUAAAUGAUGAUGUUCUUAUGCUGUUGUUCCACAAAGCAGACCAUGAACUGAGAGUCAUACAAUAAAUGACAGCAGAGCUGUCAAAACAGAAGA